rnacentral:rRNA from 1 species
UCAAGCAUAUUAAUAAGCGGAGGAAAAGAAACUAACAAGGAUUCCCCUAGUAAUGGCGAAUGAAGCGGGAACAGCUCAAAUUUGAAAUCUCCGUCGCCUGCGACGGCGAAUUGUAGUUUCGAGAAGCGCUUUCUAGGCGGAGCCGGCGCCGUCCAAGUUGCUUGGAACAGCACGUCAUAGAGGGUGACAACCCCGUCUGUGGCGGAGCCGGCCGCCCACGAUGCGCUUUCGACGAGUGGGUUGCU